rnacentral:rRNA from 1 species
CAGUAGCCGCGGGAAUACGUAGGUGGCAAGCGUUGUCCGGAAUUAUUGGGCGUAAAGGGCUCGCAGGCGGUUUCUUAAGUCUGAUGUGAAAGCCCCCAGCUCAACCGGGGAGGGUCAUUGGAAACUGGGAAACUUGAGUGCAGAAGAGGAGAGUGGGAUUCCACGUGUAGCGGUGAAAUGCGUAGAGAUGUGGAGGGACACCAGUGGCGAAGGCGACUCUCUGGUCUGUAACUGACGCUGAGGAGCGAAAGCGUGGGGAGCGAACAGGAUUAGAUACCCCCGUAGUCCCUGUCUCUUAUAC